rnacentral:rRNA from 1 species
AUUGAACGCUGGCGGCAUGCUUUACACAUGCAAGUCGAACGGUAGCAGGCCGCAAGGUGCUGACGAGUGGCGCACGGGUGAGUAAUGCAUCGGAACGUGCCCAGUCGUGGGGGAUAACUACUCGAAAGAGUAGCUAAUACCGCAUACGAUCUAUGGAUGAAAGCGGGGGACCGUAAGGCCUCGCGCGAUUGGAGCGGCCGAUGUCAGAUUAGGUAGUUGGUGGGGUAAAGGCUCACCAAGCCAAUGAUCUGUAGCUGGUCUGAGAGGACGACCAGCCACACUGGGACUGAGACACGGCCCAGACUCCUACGGGAGGCAGCAGUGGGGAAUUUUGGACAAAGGGCGCAAGCCUGAUCCAGCAAUGCCGCGUGCAGGAAGAAGGCCUUCGGGUUGUAAACUGCUUUUGUACGGAACGAAACGGCUCUGGUUAAUACCCGGGGCUAAUGACGGUACCGUAAGAAUAAGCACCGGCUAACUACGUG